rnacentral:rRNA from 1 species
UACAGAGGUCUCAAGCGUUGUUCGGAUUCAUUGGGCGUAAAGGGCGCGUAGGCGGCGGGGUAAGUCGGGUGUGAAAUCUCAGGGCUCAACCCUGAAACUGCACUCGAUACUGCUCUGCUUGAGGACUGGAGAGGAGACUGGAAUUCACGGUGUAGCAGUGAAAUGCGUAGAGAUCGUGAGGAAGACCAGUGGCGAAGGCGGGUCUCUGGACAGUUCCGUGACGCUG